rnacentral:rRNA from 1 species
AUGCGCGNCNUANCAUGCAGUCGACGCUGAAGCCCCAGCUUGCUGGGGUGGAUGAGUGGCGAACGGGUGAGUAACACGUGAGUAACCUUCCCUUGACUCUGGGAUAAGCCUGGGAAACCGGGUCUAAUACCGGAUACGACCUCUCACCGCAUGGUGGGGGGUGGAAAGAUUUAUCGGUCUUGGAUGGACUCGCGGCCUAUCAGCUGGUUGGUGGGGUAAUGGCCCACCAAGGCGACGACGGGUAGCCGGCCUGAGAGGGUGACCGGCCACACUGGGACUGAGACACGGCCCAGACUCCUACGGAAGGCAGCAGA